ensembl:lncRNA novel transcript
AUUCCCUGGGUGAGCCUAGCCAGCAGGUGCACUCCCCAAAAUGGUUCGACUGAGAGGCAGUUUAUGGUUAUCCUGGCCAGCAAAUGGGGAGAUAGUGUCCAGGCUCUGCACCCUGUUUCCCAGUUCAGACAUUUCGAAUGCCUCUCAUGUCCUCCCCAGAGCAAGACAAUGUGGCCAGCAUCUUGGCCCCCAACCAGGAGUUGGAGGAACUGCAAUCUGGUGGAGACAUACCCCGAGCCAGCCUCUGUUCACCAACUGCUUACAAGGAUGAGGACACUGGACCCUGCUACGAGUUCUAUGCCAACUCCGUAGUCCUGGGAUGGCUCCAUACAGCUUGGGCUCACAUGGCUCAUCAUCCUGUUCUUGGCCUCAGUCAUACUGUCACUGGAUUGUCUAUCUCAGCCAUCUCCAGCAACGGCAAAAUCAAGGCUGGCUCCUGUAUGAUUCAACGUGCUUCCGAAAAUAGGACUGACAUGGGUGUGCAGAAUGGGAGCCGCCUGGGCGCAAAGUGCCAGUAUGGCUGGGAUUUCAGCAGUUGUCGAGAGCAAGGGUCCUGCCUCUGUGGGCUCUCUAAUCACUAUGAGCCGAGCUGAGUAUCAUUGCCCCCACCAUCGCCAACUUCCUCCUCUGUUCCUGUGCCCUCAACUUUGGCUGUCUCUACGCCUCCCUUACCUGGUUGUCUGGUUAGUGUGGGCAGGUGUUCAGGUAAAGUCCCUGGGUCUCUCUCCUGGGCUCUCUGCUCUGCCUGCUCAUCACAUUCCUCCUCACAUGGCGGGCAACACUGAUUACUGUGUUGCUUACCCUUCUGCUGUUAUAUGAUCUACAAAACCUGUGAUGACUUUGACUACAACUAUGGCAUAGGCCUCAUAAGGAUGCCAGGAGGGUUAAGCCCGGCUACUCAACACCAAGCUCAAGCAUCCUUAUUCCAGCAGCCUCAAUGUUCCAAUCCAAGCAAGGCCGGAGGGCAGUGGACGUGUACUGGCUCGGUGAUGAUGAAGGGUUAAAUGGAUUAAGGGCGGUGCAAGAUGUGUUUUGUUAAACAGAUGCUUGAAGGCAGCAUGCUGGUUAAGAGUCAUCACCACUCCCUAAUCUCAAGUACCCAGGGGCACAAACACUGCGGAAGGCGGCAGGGCCCUCUGCCUAGGAAAACCAGAGACCUUUGUUCACAUGUUUAUCUGCUGACCUUCCCUCCACUAUUGUCCUAUGACCCUGCCAAAUCCCCCUCUCCGAGAAACACCCAAGAAUGAUCAAUAAAUACUAAAAAAAAA